UGUAUCAUUUCCAUUCUUGAGCAGCCAAACACCCUUUCCCCUCCCUCUCGGCUUUGGCGUGAAUGAACAACCGGCAACCCUUCUCGUCCUCUUCUUCCAUCGUCGAUCCCCACCCUUCGCGUUUCUCUUCUCGACCAACUUGCAUCUCCCUUGAAGAAGAGCAACAGCGUCGCCCCUCUCCUUCGCUUUCAGCAGCCAACGUCGACAAGGAGAUCAACGAGAGAACGUGCAGCAACAUCCGGCGAGUAGCCUCUUCCCUCCGGCGAUCUAAGCAUCCUCCGGCGGCGUCUCCUCUGAUCUCCGGCAUCCCAGCUAGCAAGGACGGUACGAGUUCCUCGGCGUUCUCUCCUCUCUCGGCGAAACAGAGCAGGUUCAUGGUGGUGGCAGUUCGGAAGCUGUGACAGUGGAGGUUUGUGGUGGCGGCGGUAUCGACGGAGCUCGGUGGUGGCGUCUCUCCUCCGUUCCCGGCGUUCUCUGCUCUCCGGCGGUGUGUUGUUUGAGGUGUUCCCCGCGGGCAGAAGAAGGGUGGAGGUUUUCACCGUGUUCUACCCGCUGCCUCCCAGUGAGGAAGACGAAGAAGAUGUUGAUAGUUGGUUCCCGUUUGGCAUAUGAGUUGAGCCUAGCAUAUGUUGGCGUUGUUUUGGUUGGAUAAGCGAUUGAGGUGAUGUCUAGGCGAGUGCGCAGUCUAAUGCCUGUUAGCAUAGCUAUUCCCGUUGUUUUUAUGGCAUGUGUGCCGCUUUAGUUAUAGACUUUGAUGACUUUUGGAUAGUUGU